CUCAGUGUCAGUGAAGAUGGUGUGAUCAGGAAAUCUGGUGUUUGUAGGAAAACUGAAGGAACAUCUCCCAGUAUUCUACUACAAUGUUGCCCUGAUGUCUGAGGUAAUUCACCUCUUAGAGACUGUGGAGAGAUGGUGUGCAGCUCCAUGACAUUUGAAGUUUACUGCCAAUGGAGAGCUUCUUGGACAUUGACAGGCAGCACUUCCCAGCAAGUUCAUUUGGAGUUCUUUUUUGUAAGUUAUUAAUUAAUGAAUUUAUUUAGUCAAGCUUGCAU
ensembl:lncRNA